UCCGUCAGGAAAAAAUUGGUUAGUCUCUCAAAAUUUACACUCAAAUCUCUCCAUCUCCAUCUUCUUCUUUGACUAAUAUAUUUUUGCUUCUAGCCGUCGGGGACGAAACAGAAGCCGUUACCGCCGAAGUCAUCAUCGAGUAAGUUAUCAUCGCCAGUGGCUGUACAAGACGAGAUCGAGAUCGAGAUUGCAGAAGUGUUGUAUGGUAUGAUGAGGAUGCCUUCCACAUCAAAACAAGAAGCAGCCGGUAACGAUUUGACGGAGGCAGCGAAAUCAACUGUAGAAGUCAAAUCUCGAGUCUCUUCACCGAUCUCAAAUCCUCAGACUCUUCCUCAAUCAUCUAUCACACUAGCUGCAAAUUCUAGCUCCUCUAAUGUUUCAGCCAUCGGUAACAUCCUCUCUCCAUUCACAAAUCGGAACGACUAUUUUUGUUUUUUUUUUUCUUUUUUGCUCACUUUGUUUUACCAUUUUCGCUUCAGCUCCUAAGAGAAAGAAGCCGAGACAUGUCAAGUACGAAGACGAUAACAGUUCACGCGUCACUACAAUCAAAUCCGAAGCCGAAGCUCCUUCAAAAAGUCAAGUUCCGUUCAGUAAUCAACUAAAGAGCUCAGGAUCCGGCGAAGGAAACAGCUCCGUAUUGGAUUCUAUCAUACCACUGACGAGAGAAAGCAACGCUUCGUUAGAUUCGGAGAAAAAAGAGAACAAUCUGUCAAAAGACGAAACAAUAUUGCCGAAAGUGGAAUCUUCUUCAGGAUUUAGAUCCGAUGGUGAAGGAGCUAAAUCGUAAGCAUUCAAUCUAUACAUUCAUUUUUUCUGGAUUUUUUACCCAAGUUUUGGUACUGAAUGUUUUUUGUUUUUAAUCAUGCAGGAGUUCGCCGGAAAAAGAGAAGUUUGAGAUAGAUCUGAUGGUAAGUGUCAAUAACAUAUAUAUUUUAUUUUAUUUUCCUUUUUUUUUGAAGUUCCGUACUAAAUUAAUUGUCCGUCGGUUCAG
rnacentral:sRNA from 1 species